rnacentral:rRNA from 1 species
CUUGGUCAUUUAGAGGAAGUAAAAGUCGUAACAAGGUUUCCGUAGGUGAACCUGCGGAAGGAUCAUUACAACGUAUCCACGUAUCAAACUCGCGAACUGUCCCCUUUAGAGUAAACAAUUGUGGAUGAAGUUAAUGGCUGAUCGAUUCUCGCUGAUGGAGUUCACGGAUUUUUAUCUGAGAACUGAGAGUCUGUUGGUCGCUGGCCGAAGCGCUUGCGUUUCAGCUGGGACUUCGUUGACUCUACUGCGGUUUUUUACCAUCGGCGCCUGUUUUACCCAUUAUUAACCCUUUGAAAAUUUUGAACUGAACUUGAAGAUCGGCUGCGGCUGUCCUUGUUGGCUCCGGUCACGGCAGCUUAACGUAGCCUGUUUUCCUCAUUACGAAACAAAAGAACAACUCUUAGCAACGGAUAUCUUGGUUCUCGUAUCGAUGAAGAACGCAGCAAAAUGCGAUACGUAAUGCGAAUUGCAGAAUUCAGUGAAUCAUCAAAUCUUUGAACGCAAAUUGCGCUCUCGGGAUAGGCCUGGGAGCACGCCUCUUUGAGUAUCGAUUCCACAACAACUCGGAAGCGUGCAUUUUUCGAAGUGCAUUGCUGACGGAAAAUGAGCGUUCUCGUGUUUUCAACUCGAGAUGUUUCAAAUGAAGCGAGUGGCACGAUUUCUAACUCGAAAUCGAAUUUGUCUCUAGUGACGAGGAUAACUUCACAUUCACUUGUGAACCCUUCCAUCGUGACUAUUGAGAUAGAUGACGUUUUGUGGAUAGUUGUCAAUGUGACACGGUCCUCUCUGGCUUCCGUUAUCAGACGUCAGAGAAUGCUUUUGAACUAGAUCUCAAAUGAAGCGAGAAAACCCGCUGAACUUAAGCAUAUCAAUAAGCGGAGGA